AUAUAGGUGGACUGGGCGGCCCCCUCCCAGCGCGCGCGCCUCCGCCCACUCCCCGGGUUCCCACUCCCUCGCGGCUCAUGUGACACCAGCUUAAGCUGAACGGGACCGAGCCGGGGGACGCCUCCCCGAGCUCAGGGACCGAGUGGCAGCGCGCUCCGCAACCCCAGGAGCCGCCGGGGAUUGGACACGCUCCCCGCCCGCGGGAAGGCCCCGAACUCCUGCGCGCCGGCUUCAUUGCUCUCCCAAAAGCGCUCCGGUACCAGGCGGCCAGGGGCAGGAGAAGGGACGCGAGGAAAUCCGAAAAAUAUUUCAUUUUCUCUUUCCCAGGGUUCGAAGAGGCCGGUACCCAAGGAAAGGGGCGGGGAAUGCGGGAAUGGAAAGGAAUUUCCUGGGAAUUUCCUGAGUCCACCGCCCUCACCGCCUCAGCCCCGCCAGCAUCUACUGGCCAACCCCUGUCCUCCAGGAGCCAGGUUUCUUACCAGCCAUCAGCGCUCUGAGGCCACAGAGCUUUCCCGCCUCGCCGCAGUGUCUUUUUUGGCCAGACCUCGGGCUCUGGGGACUGCUCCGUUGUGGGGCUUCCCACGUGGUGGCUACGACGCCCAGCUUCCCGGGAUCACCUGCGGGUCCCCGCGGGCUGGCGGGGUUGGACCUACCCUCAGACACACCCGGGCAGCAUCCUGAAAACUGGGAGAGGGGGCCCUGAGUGAUCUACCUACUCCACGCCUCCCCGCUCCGCUCAUUACACACACCUGACAGUAGGGAGGAGACACUGAGACAUGGACCCAAGGUGAUGAAUUGACUAAUCUUUCGAUCCAGGACUCACUGAUGGCCAUCCCCCUGGCAACACUGUCCUAUUUAAUACCAUCUUCUGUAAAGAAAACAGAGUUACUAAAUUGUUGAUUUUUUAGGGAUGCCAACAUGUAUGCAUAUUUAUAACAUCCAUCAGUCUUUUAAAUUGGAGUAACACAGUAAAAUGCAUGAAUCAAGUGCACUAAUCUUAAGCAUAAAGCUCGGGGAAAUUUUACACAUGCCUACACCCAUAGAAAACAUUUCUAGCACCUCAGGUUUUCUCAUGCCCCUUCCUAAUCUGUACUCCCACGCCACAUAGGAAACCCGUAUUCUGACUUCUUAUCACCAAUGAUUAUUUUUAGUUAUUUUUGAACUUUAUACAAAUGGAAUUAUACAAUAUAUACACUUCGAUUUCUGGAUUUUUUGCUCAAUUUAAUAUCUAUGAGAUUUGGUAUUAGUAGCUAAUUUUUUUGUUUGUUUUUCCCUCUGUAGUAGUCCAUCGAUACAUAUAUCGUAAGUAAUUUAUCCACUCUCCUAUGGGUAGGGAUUUGCAUUGUUUCCAGUUUGAAGCUACUACAAAUAAAGCUGCCAUAAACAUUUUUA